rfam:Oryza barthii chromosome 8, whole genome shotgun sequence.
UUUAAGUAUAGUUAUGGGUUUUCGUGUUCAACCUUUGACCGCUCGUUAUAUUUUAUUUUUUUAAUAAUUAUUUUUUUAUUAGAUGAUAAAAUAUGAACAAUACUUUAUGCAUGAUUUAUUUUUUUAAGUUUUUUUUUAAAUUAUUUAAAUAAGACAAACGGUUAAACGUUCGAAACAGAAACCCGUACCUACAAUUAAA